ACUAUACAAAAACUUUUUAACUACACGAAAAACUAAACGACUUGAGCUUUCUCUUCUAAAUCCUUUAUCCUUUCUUGAAUUAUAUCCAAUGCAUGUUUGCUUUGCAUUGACUUAUUUUCACAUUCCACUACAGCUUCAUUCGUAUUGGAAUUGAUCGGCAAACGAAUAGUUAUUUUUUGAUCGCAUACAGCCUCAUUCAUAAUAGAUUCGUCUUUUUCCAUGCAUAUGACCAGAUGAGCACUAGCGAUUGCAGAAGCUAGGUUAUCAGCUGAAAUUAAAGAAAGUGCAAUUCCGUGGCACAAAAACUUCUCAUGAAUAUCGUCUAGCUGCUUGCAAAUAUCUUCCUCUUCACUUACUGCAAAGAUUUUUGUGAAAUGAAGCCUACUUAGUUGCUUUAAAAUAUUGGACGCUAAUAAAGACUCCAAAAAACUGGGCAAAUCUACAAAAGAUAUAACCAAUGAUUUUUCUUUUUCUAAAGUAGGGCAGACCGAUGAAGCAUCCGAAUGCUUGUAUUCGAUCUCAAAUGCCUUCUUCAAGUCUUCAUAAGUUUUAGCAGUCUGAGCGAGUUGUCGAACAUUUUUCCGAAAUGAACCCUGCAUGAUUUGAUUUAAACAAUAUUUAGUAUUCCCAAAAUUAUUAUCAACCUCAAGAGCCUAUCAACAAUUAGUAAUGAAUAAACAAGCAAAGUACAAACCAUUUUCAAAAACUCCUCGGCAACCUUAAAACUAGAAAGUGGGCCCUCUAUUCGAAAACAGGAUACGUUCCUUUCAGCAGCUCUGGCGAUAAGCACACCGUCGACUCCAUAUUUCUCAAUAACAUCCAAUCCAUCAUUAUAGCUUAAGACAUCCCCAUUUACUAAGAUCGAAACAUCUUUAUUUCGACAGACGCCUACAAUUUCCGAUAAAUAACUACGAUCUGCAGGCUCAGUAUUUCGCAUUGGAGUUGUACGGCAAUGAACAGUGAUUGCUCGAACUCCUGUAUCGCAUAUGCGCUCUACCAAUUUUAGGGUAUCUUCUUUUGUCUCUAAUAAACGAAUUUUACAACUUAUGGAAAUUUUGUAAGGCUUCCCGAUCUCAUUCACUAGAGCAUCGAGAAUACUGACUAGACGAUCUUGAUUUUUCAAAAGGCCAGCUCCCAUUCCAGCAUGUACAGAAAAAUGUUUGGGGCAACCACAGUUUAAGUCAAUGCCUGCAACAUCAUUAGCUACAAGUUUUGCUGCUUCCACUGCAAGUUCUGGGGAUGCACUUCCGAGUUGAAAAAUCAAUCGAUUAGCUUCAAGCGGAUGCACACGAAACAACACCUUAUUGCUAGGUGGUUUAACAAAA